CUUACCAUUCAUGCUAUACAUUUAUAUAUCCCUUAUGUCAAAUACAGAAGGGGAAAUAACUCUCAUAUGGAGUUUACGUAUCGCUUCGGUCAAAAUUGGACAAAACAUCCUGAGGAUAUAACGAGCAAUUUGGUAAAAUAAAUUUGUCCAUUUCUUUUACGGUUACGGAGGAGAUGCACGCACAAGGGAAACAGUGUUCGGGGAGAUAACUCCUACAAAGAAAAGUAUUCAGUUAACCAGGGUCAAUUUCAAAGGCGCAUAAACUGUUCGAUAUCAUAUACGAAACAUCUAAGCGACAUCUUGCGAAACAAAAAUUUAUCGCAAGAACAAAAUUUGGCGGAAGAAAAAAAAAAAUAAUCAGAAGAAAACCAAUAGGUCUUUCCACCGAAAAGUGGAAAGACCUAAUAAUAAUAAUCAGAACAAAUACAAUAGGUCUUUCCACAGAAAAGUGGAAAGACCUAAUAAUCAGAACAAA